CAGAAACACCAGCCUGUCUCACUAUGGAAUCCAGAGUUCUUUUUGCAUUUAUUAUAACACUUUUUGGGUAGGAUGAAUUACACGGUUACACUGACAAUCACGGCUUCAAUGUGUUUCUUUACUAAAGAUUACGAGCACUUUGGAAAUAUAAAACAGAUGCACAGGUUUCUAAUCUGUCAUUUGGGAGCUAAACAGCUGAAGAAACUGUAGAGGAGUUUGGAACACAACAGGAAUGUACUGUACAUUUACAACAAACGAAAAGGAACAAGUCCUUUGGGGCUGUGGAUGCUGAAUCCGGCCUGACGCGCAGAGGCAAGAUGAACAGGACACGUGGCCGGGCCUGGCCACCAGUACAAUCUCUGCUCCAUCAGGGAGGAACUCCACAGGUCCAGUGUACUCGGUGCUGUUUGCUUCAUUUCCUCCUUUAAAUUCCUAACAACACUCCUAAGAUUCAAAUCUGCCGUUGGUCAUUCUACUUCUAAAUCCCUAAACAGCCACCUUGACCACACUCUAUGUACGGGAAAUCAGCCUUUUUGGAAAAUGUUCUCUCUUAUUCCAACAACCUUAGGUACCUUGGGAUUCUGAGCUUGAGAUUAACAGGCCCUCCUGAAAAUGAUGCCAGUGUUUAUUUGGUCAGUAUGCGUCAUCAUUGCUCCGUAAAAUUUCUAAAAAUGUUACUUGUCAAACUCACAGCCAGUGUGUCUUGAUGGCAAAAGGCAAUUUAAAAUGGAUUUUUACCUUACACAAGAAAUGUGUUUCGGGAGCGCGGUGAGGAGGGUGGGCCUUCUGGUGUUUCCUCAGGAGUGGGCUAACCUGCUCCCAGCGCGUAACUCACCAGUCCAGGUGAGGGAGGCGGGAGGCUGCUCUAGCCUGCUCCUGACCGAUUGUGCUCUCACGGCAUGGUCUGCUUCUCCUUCUUUGCUUGUCUGCAAAACAGCAAUCAUGAAAUGUUUAAUUCCUGACUAGCAGCACGCAAAUCAUCUUUGCUGUAGAUAACCUCGGUUUAAAGUCCUCAUUGGCUUAAUUGCACUGAGUGGUGGAAACUAUCUUUAGCUGGAAUUACAUGCCAGCUGGUUUGCUUUUACUUUUUCUCCAAGCAGUUUAUUGCCCUGUGAAAGCACGUUUAUGUAAAAAAACACAACAAGUCAAAACAGAAAAAAAAGUAAAUUCACGUUUCUGGUGAUUGCCAAGGAAUUGUUUCUUAGUUACUGGCUUUGACCUGAGAAAUUCUCAUUAAACUGAGAGGCAGUGCUGCUUAUCUCUAGCUAGGAGCUAGGAGGAGGGAUGAGAG